UUCGUUGUCUGUUCGACCUGA
rnacentral:miRNA from 1 species